rnacentral:rRNA from 1 species
AGAGUUUGAUCCUGGCUCAGAAUCAACGCUGGCGGCGUGCCUCAGACAUGCAAGUCGAACGCGAAAGUCCCCUUCGGGGGGCGAGUAGAGUGGCGCACGGGUGAGUAACACGUAGGUAAUCUACCUUUGGAUUGGGAAUAACAACCGGAAACGGUUGCUAAUACCGAAUAAUGCAGCGGCACCUAAUGGUGACAGUUGUUAAAGCGGGGGAUCGCAAGACCUCGCGUCUGAAGAGGAGCCUGCGGCAGAUUAGCUAGUUGGUAAGGUAACGGCUUACCAAGGCGAUGAUCUGUAGCCGGCCUGAGAGGGCGGUCGGCCACACUGACACUGACAUACGGGUCAGACUCCUACGGGAGGCAGCAGUCGGGAAUUUUGGGCAAUGGGCGAAAGCCUGACCCAGCAACGCCGCGUGAAGGAUGAAAUCCUUCGGGAUGUAAACUUCGCAAGAACGGGAAGAAUAAGUAAGAGUUAAUAUCUCUUACGAUGACGGUACUGUUUGUAAGCUCCGGCUAACUCCGUGCCAGCAGCCGCGGUAAUACGGGGGGAGCAAGCGUUGUUCGGAUUUACUGGGCGUAAAGGGCGCGUAGGCGGCCACCGCAAGUCGACUGUGAAAUCUCCGGGCUUAACCCGGAAAGGUCAGCCGAUACUGCGGGGCUAGAGUGCAGAAGGGGCAACUGGAAUUCUCGGUGUAGCGGUGAAAUGCGUAGAUAUCGAGAGGAACACCUGCGGCGAAGGCGGGUUGCUGGGCUGACACUGACGCUGAUGCGCGAAAGCCAGGGGAGCGAACGGGAUUAGAUACCCCGGUAGUCCUGGCCUUAAACGAUGGAUGCUUGGUGUCUGGAGUUUUAUAGUCUCCGGGUGCCGUAGCUAACGCGUUAAGCAUCCCGCCUGGGGAGUACGGUCGCAAGACUGAAACUCAAAUGAAUUGACGG